rnacentral:rRNA from 1 species
GACGAACGCUGGCGGCGUGCUUAACACAUGCAAGUCGAACGGAAAGGCCCUGCUUUUGUGGGGUGCUCGAGUGGCGAACGGGUGAGUAACACGUGAGUAACCCGCCCUUGACUUUGGGAUAACUUCAGGAAACUGGGGCUAAUACCGGAUAGGAGCUCCUGCUGCAUGGUGGGGGUUGGAAAGUUUCGGCGGUUGGGGAUGGACUCGCGGCUUAUCAGCUUGUUGGUGGGGUAGGGGCUUACCAAGGCUUUGACGGGUAGCCGGCCUGAGAGGGUGACCGGCCACAUUGGGACUGAGGUACGGCCCAGAAUCCUAUGGGAGGCAGCAGGGGGGAAUAUUGCACAACGGGCGGAAGCCUGAUGCAGCAACGCCGCGUGCGGGAUAACGGCCUUCGGGUUGUAAACCGCUUUCGCCUGUGACGAAGCGUGAGUGACGGUAAUGGGUAAAGAAGCACCGGCUAACUACGUG